CUAUACUUGCAAUGGGGGGCGGUGAGCUAACCUGUGCCUUGCCCGCGGUAGGAACGAGUGCUGCCUGCUCUCUCAGGCAAAAUGUCUCUUCACCCUGCUGACGAACGCUAGAGGACACAUGAUUUUGUCAAAAGAAUGAUUAUUAGCAAAUUAUUGGGGGGGGGGGGGCUGCAGCCCCAAGCUCCUCCCGUUGAUACAGCCCUGGAUAGAGUUUAAAUCAGACAAAACAGGAUCGGUAUUUCAACAGCCAAUUUGCUACGGCGCAUGAACAACGCAGUAUAAAGAUUACAAAAAUCAUUAUUGUGUUAAAUGAUGACUGAAAAUGAGAUACAAUUCUAAAGAACAUUCUCGUUUACUGAUAUUUUUGUGUGUGUUUUUGACGUUGUUAAGAUUAUGCAACGCGCCAAAAACAUAGGGGGGCUCAGCCCCUCCAAGUCAACAUGAAAUUUUAACAAGGGGUGCUAAGCACCCUCGAGCCCUCCCUCCACUACACCACUUGACCUAUCUUCUAAGCAAGGAAUUUUUUUUUUGCACUAUGCCUGGGAAGAUUUUUUUUUCUU